rnacentral:lncRNA from 1 species
CAAUUGUGAAUGGGAGUUCACUCAUGAUUUGGCUCUCUGUUUGUCUGUUGUUGGUGUAUAAGAAUGCUUGUGAUUUUUGCACAUUGAUUGUGUAUUCUGAGACUUUGCUGAAGUUGCUUAUCAGCUUAAGGAGAUUUUGGGCUGAGACAAUGGGCAGAACUAUUUUCAUGAUGAUACUUAAGGUACUGCUUUUUCAGCCCCAUGCUUUCACCAGUGUACAGUGAAGCUUUCCAGAAGCUACAUAAUAUAUGAUGAUGUCAUCACUCUGAAUAUAUGCUUAAAUAUUCUAAUGUUUUAAAAUUAUUUUUAGUUUUAAUUUCCAAUACUAUAGAUCUCAAUAGAUAUAACCCACAUAAAAUCUAAUGGGAUUCUCAAUGAUUUUGAAGAGUGGAAACCAUCCUGAGGCCAAAAAACUUUGAGAACUGCUGGGCUAAAUCACCUCUGUCUCAGUGGUACAUAACUGCUGGUACUGGGGUUAAAAUGCACACUUUUUUUGAAAUGAUGAUGAGAGUAGAUAUUAGAUACUUAAUUUUUUUAAAAAAUUCCUAAUUGGUAAGAUAAAAUAUUGUGAUCUUUUGUUCCUUCAUUAAAAAAUAGUUACACUGCCAAUCUAUAUAUAGACAGGCCCAUGAACUCUUCUUGUAACCUCCUAUUAUUCAGACAGGGAAAAACAUUGGUUUUUGAUAGAGAUUGUUAUCACCCAAAUGAGUGUCAGAUGGUGUUUUAUUUAACUGUCUCUUUGUGCCCUUGUAACUUUUAUAUGGAAAAUGUAUUUGAUUGGUAACCUAAUUAAUAAGAAGACACUUUAAUACUACCCUAAUGUCAAGUUCUACCUUGUUUUGUCUUUGUCUGGGCUUUCCAAAGUUUCUCACAAUUGAUUUUGAGUCACACUCUGAGACUAACGCCAAAAGUUCAGUCCUCAAACAUCAUUUUAAGGUAUCAGAAAUAAAAAUUGCUGGGUGCGGUGGCUCACAACUGUAACCUCAACAGUUUGAGAGGCUGAGACAGGAAGAUUGCUUGAGACCAGGAGUUUGAGACCAGCCUGGGCAACAUAGCAAGACCCUGUCUCUAAUAUAUAUAUAAAAUUAGCUGGGCAUGGUGGUGCAUGCCUGUAGUCCCAGAUACUCAGGAGGCUGAGGAUCACUUGAGCCCCAAAGGUCAAGGCUGCAGAGAGCUGUAAUCAUGCCACUGCACUCCCUUCUGGGCAACAGACUGAGACCCUGUCAAAAGAAAAGAGGAAGGAAAGAAGGAAGGAAGGAAAGAAGGAAGGAAAAAAGAAAAAGAAGAGAGAAAGAAAGAAAGAGAGAAGAAAUUUAAAAAAGGAAAGGAAAGGAAAACAAAGGAAAAGAGAAUUAAUAUAUGUGAACUUUUCCAGUAGUUGCUCAAAAAAUGACUGCUGCCAAACUCUGAGGGGAAAAUUCCCGACUCGAUCAAUAGCUCUCUUUGGAACACUAUGUCUUUGACAGAUUACUUCUGGUUAUAAGAUGAAAAUUUGAUUUUUAGUUUUGAAUAGGAAUUUUUAUGCUUAAUUAAAGAAAACUGCAACUCAAGAUUGUAUCAGUGAAUAUUUCCUUUCCCUAAUCAAUUAUAUGGUAAAAUAAGAUUAUCAUGUUCAUGUAAUCUAUAUAAAGUUCAUACCAUUAAAUGAUGGGUCAGCUAAUUAAUUAUUUCCAAAGCACUUUGGUAGUGCUGAAGAAUGCUUUUUUUUUUGUCCUCAUAGAGUCCUUCUUUAAUUUGAUUUCCAAUAUGUAGUGCUUUUCUCCAGAUUUUUAAAAGUACUUCUUUUUAUUCUUCCCCAUUACAUCAUCCUUUUUCCUCCUUGUUGGACUGAGUGACAAAGGGCCUUGAAUUCAUGAUGAAAGAAGAUGUAAUUGAGCCUAGUGAACUAACCACAGGAAAAUGAUUCUGAGAGACCUGUGUAUAGCCUGGGAAGUAGAACCUGUUCUUCUUGCUGUGAAAUUGACUUCAUUCUGGUAUUAGUUUCAAAGGUGUUCUCUUUAAUCAAGAAGAAAGUCUCUGUUUACUACUAGAACAUCUUUAACACCUCCCAAUAUUUGCAUAUGAUAGAAACCAGAAGAAGUAAAACCUCAGAUCACAAUUCUGUUAACAGCAAAGGCUUAAUCAUUGCCUUUUCAAUGUGUUUGGGUACAAUAAAAGACCCUUGCUUUUUACCAAUGUGUGACAGUGCAUCAACCUGAAAGAACAGGAAAAGCUGCUGCGAUGAGAAACUCGACAUCCAAGGAGUGGAAGUACUGGGUCAUCUGAUAAUCCUGUGUUUAACUUUUUGAGGAACCGCCAUACCGUUUUCCACAGCAUGUGCUCCUUUACUUGUAUGCGUGUAUUCCAUCUCUUCUAACAACACUCCAGCAAAAUAGGCCUACUGCAGGUUACAUUGAGUCUUCUUACUCAACUCCAUUUAUCCAGGAACUGGGCUCCUGACUCUUGAGAGAUGGAGAGAAGUGUGCUGGUGGGCCUGCAAAAGAAGAUAAGUGGGGGCAGAGGAAAUGGCCAUGGAAAAGCACAGAUAUCAUGAAGAGUUAGUGAGGGGAUGGGCUCCUCUGUGGACUAUGAAUAAAGUGUUUACAACACUCUAUGGCAAGUGGAACAAAUCAGACUGCUGAAAGUCAGUAAGGAGUCUCUUGGAAUCCCAUAUGAGACAGAGAUUGCCUCUCUUAAAGUUUAUCAGUUUUAUUUUUGAAUUGCUUUUAUCCAAAACUAGAAAGAAAACUCCUUUACCCUGUCAAAAAACCAACAGACAUGUCUGAACCCUACAAAAUUGCCCAAUCCAUACACAGAUACAUAGAAAUAUGAGGUUUUGAUAAUUUGGAAAAUCAUCCAAACCAUUGUUUAAAUUUUAAUACCUUACUUGUUUUCACUUAGCCUUUCCUGGAGGUUUCUAAGCUCUCCAAAAUUAAUAAAUAAGAGAAGUAACUUAGCCAUUUCUGUGAGUUGCUUAUGUUAGAAAGACAUCUCCAAACUAUAGUCUUUCAAGCACUCCUUUCCUUUGCAGAUGGCUAUUGAUAUAAAUAUUUCUCUAAUUCCCUGAGCGUUCAAAUGGGCUGGAGUUUCAUGUUAAAUCUGGACUUAAGAGAGAGUUCGGUCUCUCUGACUUCAUAUUAUGGUGACUUUUCCAUCUCUGCUCAUUUAUCAGGGAGAUAACUGUCUGUUGGAAUGGCUUUCUUGAUCCUUGAACUAUUAGUGGGAUAGACUCUUAUCUGAUGGCUUCAAGAAGGGCCUGGUUUGCUUGUGGUGGCCAAAAAGGCCUUAAUUGAUACUGCAAAUAGUUAAUUUAUGACCCCAGGUUAAACUGGAAACCUGAUUUCUUGACUAGCAUAUUUAAGAGCUAUUUCUUUUUUUUCUCUUUGUCAAUAGAUCAUAUUUAGUUAUGCUGAUCUGUUCUAUUCAUCCACUUUACCUUUGUGUAAUAAAGUCUUUGAAAGUAUUGCCUUUAUAUUUUCU